AUUGAACGCUGGCGGCGUGCUUAACACAUGCAAGUCGAUCGGUAACGCGGGGGCAACCCUGGCGACGAGAGGCGGACGGGUGAGGAACGCUUGGGAAUCUGCCUAUCAGCGGGGGACAACACGGGGAAACUCGUGCUAAUACCGCAUACGCUCUACGGAGGAAAGCCGGGGACCGCAAGGCCUGGCCCUGAUAGAUGAGCCCAAGCCGGAUUAGCUAGUUGGCGGGGUAACGGCCCACCAAGGCGACGAUCCGUAGCUGGACUGAGAGGACGAUCAGCCACACUGGGACUGAGACACGGCCCAGACUCCUACGGGAGGCAGCAGUGGGGAAUAUUGGACAAUGGGGGAAACCCUGAUCCAGCGACGCCGCGUGGGUGAAGAAGGCCUGCGGGUUGUAAAGCCCUUUCGGUAGGGACGAAAGCUCUCGACCUAACACGUCGGGAGGUUGACUUAACCUACAAAAGAAGCACCGGCUAACUCUGUGCCAGCAGCCGCCGUAACAC
rnacentral:rRNA from 1 species